rnacentral:rRNA from 1 species
CGACCGGGUGAGUAACACGUGAUUAACCUACCUUCGAGUGGGGAAUAAACCUCGGGAAACCGAGGCUAAUACCGCAUAAAAUCCCAGAGAUGCAAGGCUUGGGGAUCAAAGAAGCAAUUCGCUUGAAGAGGGGGUCGCGGCUGAUUAGCUAGUUGGCGGGGUAAUGGCCCACCAAGGCAAUGAUCAGUAGCCGGCCUGAGAGGGCGCACGGCCACACUGGAACUGAAACACGGUCCAG